rnacentral:piRNA from 1 species
UGAUGUUACAAUUUCCCUACAAAUUGAG